UACGGAGGGGGCUAGCGUUGUUCGGAAUUACUGGGCGUAAAGCGCACGUAGGCGGCUUUGUAAGUUAGAGGUGAAAGCCCGGGGCUCAACUCCGGAAUUGCCUUUAAGACUGCAUCGCUAGAAUUGUGGAGAGGUAAGUGGAAUUCCGAGUGUAGAGGUGAAAUUCGUAGAUAUUCGGAAGAACACCAGUGGCGAAGGCGACUUACUGGACACAUAUUGACGCUGAGGCGCGAAAGCGUGGGGAGUAAACAGG
rnacentral:rRNA from 1 species